CUCCCCUCCCUCCCCUUCCCCUACUGGCUCACGAGGAGAGGGACUGUGAUUGUUCGCUUUACACGUCACUCUUUGUGACGUACCACAGCGGGGCGGGAGAAAAGGGGGCGGGACGAAGCGCAGCGGCAGAGGCUGAAACUAGUGACCGAGUAGGGGUUUUUGCGCAGGCGCGUACAGUUGAAGCGCACACCUGGGUUUCUUCCUUUCCCCGCAUCCCUCUUGCCACCUGGGUCGGGUCUUUUAGCGCAGUGUGGGAGCGGCCUUGGAGUGGAGCAUAGAUGGGGCCGGAGGGCGUUGUUUCCCCUGGUUGAGGAGAUUUCCCUCUUUCAGGGCACAAUUUUCACUGAUUUACUACAACUACACUUUUUUUGUGAUAUCUCCGCCCCAAGGACAUUUCACAGCGUCUUAUAAAGAUCUUUCUGCCUGCAGAGCUCUUCACUUCUUUUCUGCCCAUACCCUCGUACCCUCAAGGCAUUCCAUCGCAAGCUUAUUUAUUGCUUUUCCAGCAUCUAAAUUCUUAUCAUAUUGCGAAAGCCAUCCUGAGACAAAAGAGCAAGGCUGGAGGCAUCACUCCGAGCAACUUCAAAUUACACCACAAAGCGUCAGUAAUCAAUACGGCAUGGUAGUGGCAGAAAAACACACAGAC